UUAAAACACUGUUUCUUAUGCCAUCACCAAAGUUAAGCAACAUUGAGCCUGAUCAGUACCUAGAUGGGUGACCACUUGGGAAUACCAGUUGCUGUAAG